GAUGAACGCUGGCGGCGUGCCUAAUACAUGCAAGUCGAGCGAACAGACGAGGAGCUUGCUCCUCUGACGUUAGCGGCGGACGGGUGAGUAACACGUGGAUAACCUACCUAUAAGACUGGGAUAACUUCGGGAAACCGGAGCUAAUACCGGAUAAUAUAUUGAACCGCAUGGUUCAAUAGUGAAAGACGGUUUUGCUGUCACUUAUAGAUGGAUCCGCGCCGCAUUAGCUAGUUGGUAAGGUAACGGCUUACCAAGGCAACGAUGCGUAGCCGACCUGGGAGGGUGACCGCCCACGUGGGAAAGGAGGACCGGCCACAACUGCAACGGGGGGCGGCAGGGGGGACUCUGCGGGAAUGGGGAAAAGGAGGAGGGACCAAGGGCGCGGGGGUGAUGAAGGUUUGCGGAUUGAAAAACUCUGUUAUUAGGGAAGAAAAAAUGUGUAAGUCAGGAUGAUCUUGUUAGCGCUACCAAAAAAAAAACCCGCUGACAACUUG
rnacentral:rRNA from 1 species